GAUGAAGAACGUAGCGAAAUGCGAUAAGUAUGCGAAUUGCAGAAUCCGUGAGUCAUCGAAUCUUUGAACGCACAUUGCGCCCUCUGGUAUUCCGGAGGGCAUGCCUGUUCGAGCGUCAUUAUCACCCCUCAAGCCCGGCUUGUUGUUGGAUGCAGCGCUUAUCCCGCUCCUCCCAAAGAUAAUGACGGCGUCUGCGACGACUCCUGUACACUGAGCUUUCGGGCACGUACACGGCUAGAAGUCCAGACCCGGUCGCCGUCCCCCCCGCGGGGACACCCAUUACCACAAGGUUGACCUCGGAUCAGGUAGGAAUACCCGCUGAACUUAAGCAUAUCAAUAAGCGGAGGA
rnacentral:misc_RNA from 1 species